rnacentral:rRNA from 1 species
UAAUACAGAGGGUGCGAGCGUUAAUCGGAAUUACUGGGCGUAAAGGGUGCGUAGGUGGCAAGGUAAGUUGGAUGUGAAAGCCCUGGGCUUAACCUGGGAACGGCAUCCAAGACUGCCUGGCUAGAGUCGUGUAGAGGGAAGUGGAAUUUCCGGUGUAGCGGUGAAAUGCGUAGAUAUCGGAAGGAACAUCAGUGGCGAAGGCGGCUUCCUGGACACAGACUGACACUCAGGCACGAAAGCGUGGGUAGCAAACAGG